UAUGCGCCUUUGAUUUGGUUUUCGCAAUUAAAAAGGUCGAUACUAUUCUUGUGGUUGACAGUCGAAGAAAAACAUUCUCUUCUGCAUUUUUAUACGAAGAGGUAGCAUGGAUAGGUGGCUGGACGAAUGGGAGUAUUAGAUAUUGUAGAUUACGAAAAAUAACACGAUAUAUGGACUAUUUAGAAUACAGGGAAGCCAAAGGUUGACGGAAUGGUUUGGCUAUCAUAUUACCAACAUGAAACGGAAUUGUCGUUGGAAGAAGAAGAAGAAGAAUAAGUAAUUUCACGGAAGAGGGAACAUACAAAUGACGCGGCAGCACGGUGCAUGGAAGCUUGCUGGGUGUCCAGUGAUGGCACCCAAAUGAGAAGGAUUCGAGUUAUUUACAUUUACAGUGGCAAAUGGUUGAAGACAAGGUCGUCUCACAAGAAUGGCUUGUUUGAUAACUUUUAUUGCUGUUAAAACCAUGUGUUUUCUAAUGCAGUACUUCAAGUUAAUUUCGGCUGGUGCGUAAUAGAAUUGGAGGUGAACAGUAACAAAAUGGAUGAUGGGCAGGAUAUUGUUACAUGCUUGAAAGGAGGUUCUUCUAGUGAACUGGAGAUAGAU